rnacentral:lncRNA from 1 species
AUGUGGUGAUUUACCAGAAGUCUUCAGAGGCAAGCCAUCUUCAAUUCAGAAGGGGAAUCCCACAUGUGUGUUGAAUAUGAGGCAUUGUUUAAGACACCUCCUGCCCUCACCACAUUGGCAAACUGACAGCGUCAACUUGAAACAAGUCUGCACAUUGUGGCCAUUUUCACCCCACAACAAAUGUUUACCAUGGAAUUCCUUGGAAUCAAAAAUCAUGUCCUCUUCUCCCGUGCCUAGAAGAAUGCCCGAGAGGUGUUCACUAUGUAUUUAUAGGGUGAAAUUUUCCUAUAUAUGUCUUCUAU